UGGGGAAUAUUGCACAAUGGGCGCAAGCCUGAUGCAGCCAUGCCGCGUGUAUGAAGAAGGCCUUCGGGUUGUAAAGUACUUUCAGCGGGGAGGAAGGGAGUAAAGUUAAUACCUUUGCUCAUUGACGUUACCCGCAGAAGAAGCACCGGCUAACUCCGUGCCAGCAGCCGCGGUAAUACGGAGGGUGCAAGCGUUAAUCGGAAUUACUGGGCGUAAAGCGCACGCAGGCGGUGUGUUAAGUCAGAUGUGAAAUCCCCGGGCUCAACCUGGGAACUGCAUCUGAUACUGGCAAGCUUGAGUCUCGUAGAGGGGGGUAGAAUUCCAGGUGUAGCGGUGAAAUGCGUAGAGAUCUGGAGGAAUACCGGUGGCGAAGGCGGCCCCCUGGACGAAGACUGACGCUCAGGUGCGAAAGCGUGGGGAGCAAACA
rnacentral:rRNA from 1 species